rnacentral:rRNA from 1 species
UACAGAGGGGGCAAGCGUUGUUCGGAAUUACUGGGCGUAAAGGGCGCGUAGGCGGCCUCCUAAGUCAGACGUGAAAUCCCCCGGCUUAACCUGGGAACUGCGUCUGAUACUGGGAGGCUAGAGUGCGGGAGAGGGAUGCGGAAUUCCAGGUGUAGCGGUGAAAUGCGUAGAUAUCUGGAGGAACACCGGUGGCGAAGGCGGCAUCCUGGACCGACACUGACGCUGAGGCGCGAAAGCUAGGGUAGCAAACGGG